rnacentral:rRNA from 1 species
GAGUUUGAUCGUGGCUCAGAUUGAACGCUGGCGGCAUGCCUUACACAUGCAAGUCGAACGGCAGCACGGGAGCUUGCUCCUGGUGGCGAGUGGCGAACGGGUGAGUAAUGCAUCGGAACGUAUCCUGGAGUGGGGGAUAACGUAGCGAAAGUUACGCUAAUACCGCAUAUUCUGUGAGCAGGAAAGCGGGGGACCUUCGGGCCUCGCGCUCUUGGAGCGGCCGAUGUCGGAUUAGCUAGUUGGUGAGGUAAAGGCUCACCAAGGCGACGAUCCGUAGCAGGUCUGAGAGGAUGAUCUGCCACACUGGAACUGAGACACGGUCCAGACUCCUACGGGAGGCAGCAGUGGGGAAUUUUGGACAAUGGGGGCAACCCUGAUCCAGUCAUGCCGCGUGAGUGAAGAAGGCCUCGG